ACAAGUCUGCUGUGUGCGUGGUAUGGGAAAUUCGUAAUCCACAAAUAUAACAAACGGGAGCGCUUGUUCGCAAGAAUAGGCAAGGUCUGCAAAGCUUUGCGGAAAGUCCGAAUAUUUCUUUGCUUCGGCGCACCCACCUGCGAGAAGCGGGUUAAUACUUUGUCAUAACACGGCAUAAGCGGAUUUUUU
rnacentral:other from 1 species